CAGGAUGUCAUUUAGGUGGAUCAGUUUCUAAUUUACUAAUUGAACUGCAGUAGUAUAACUGAAGGCACCUAUAAAAUGUAUUAUGUAUCUAUGAUAGGUAUAGAAAGAACUUUCAUCUAUAGGUCUUCCGACUCGUCUGUCGUCUCAUCACUCAUCUUGUCAUUCAAUUGUGUUCGGUCCUUGCGAAGACGAUGAACCACCAUUUUUGCUAUGCAUAAAUGGAAACGACGCUUGAAAGUAUUUAGCCCUAAUCUUUAUUCAAUUUUCAUUUGAUUUAUUGUGUGGAAUGCGUUUCAGUUUAGUAAUUAAUUGGUUUCAAUUACCCGCUCCGUCGAUACAUUUUGUCAUGAAAAACUUCGGUGGCGUGUUGGUUUCGUGCUCCAACAUCGAGUCUGCCGUGGCAUUUUGCCUGUACUCAUCUAAUGUGAAUUUUAUAAAUUAUAGUUUAAUGGAAUUUGAAUAGUUAGGGUUUUGUUAGAAUUUUUAAAUUUUUAGUACACGUUUAGGCGAUGAAUUUGGAUUUUUCAUAUUGAUGUGACCACGCCGCGAAGAUUGCAUUCGUUUCAUAGCCAAAAUAUGUAAAACAUUUCUUAAUGCUAUUGUUCUGCUUUUAAAAUUCCAAAUUUCCUUUAAGAAAUUAGAUUAGGUUUUAACGACUUUUUUUUUCUGUACUAUAGACUUGCUUUGAGAUGACAUCCUUGGAUACGAUGGACAAACACUACUUACAUAUUUGUGGCAAUCAGACGUAUUUUUAUUUCCAUGAAUGCCUCUAAUGAGCUGGUCAAAAAAUUCAUAGGAUACAGGGUGCUAACAGUGGUUUCCAUUAAAUCAUAAUAAAUGUACAGGGAGAAGAUAAAUCAAAUGGCCACGAAACGUGAGGAAGCAGAACCCCAAUCACGCUUGUUUUUCUUGAGCUUGGAAAGGGAUGCAUUUAAACGUAUUAAAUGAACAAGGAGACAGAAAAUAAGAAGAACUCAAAGCCUAGAGAAGUGGAGCCCUUUAAUUUUCCCUCCCCUUGGGCGUGAAAGUGCAAUUUCCAGAAAAUAUAUGCAAUCCGAAUUACACUGAUGCAUAAAAGGAAGGUUGCGGUGCGAUAUGUGGCUUAUUUCACUUAUUUCCGUUCAUCAGCAUCUACUACUAAGAGGCAUUUCUCUUUUGUGAGCACAUGGAAUAAAACUCGAGCACGUAUAGUGAUCGUCUAGAUCGUCUGACAAAUGGGAGAGAAUUAAAGUUCAGGUUGAUGACUACAAUGUUUGGUGGACUACAUUCUUGAUUUGCUGUUUUCGUCUUCACCUUGCAACAUUAUACAGUCAAUUUUCAAGUGAUGAGUGAGAGCAACUGAAGAUUUAUGUGAAUUCCACUGAAAUAAGAAAUUUUCUGCAUUGGAAUUCCUCUUGGAUUUGAUUUGCUUUGCUUUUCACACCUGCAAACUUUGGAACAUUAUGGUCUACAGUUAAUUAAGAUCGACGUUGGAGAAGACAAAGAUGACCCCUUGGUUAAAACAGUUCUCUAUCUUGCAUGCUAUAUGUAAUAGAAUUCAAGUUCAUUUUAUUCAAAUUAGUUUUUUUAUUAUGCAUGUUUUUUUGUAGUUUAUUUAAAUUAGUUUUUA